rnacentral:rRNA from 1 species
UACAGAGGGUGCUAGCGUUGUUCGGAAUCAUUGGGCGUAAAGGGCGUGUAGGCGGUUUGUUAAGUCAGAGGUGAAAUCCUGGAGCUCAACUCCAGAACUGCCUUUGAUACUGAGAGUCUUGAGUUCGGGAGAGGUGAGUGGAACUGCGAGUGUAGAGGUGAAAUUCGUAGAUAUUCGCAAGAACACCAGUGGCGAAGGCGGCUCACUGGCCCGAUACUGACGCUGAGGCACGAAAGCGUGGGGAGCAAAGCAGGG